CCACCACCAAUUGAGAGUCACUGUAGACUUGGAGCCGAUCUACUUCUAACUCUUUGACGAUCCUCAAUCUUGCAAUCAGAGCUUCAAAUUCUGCUCCGUUAUUUGUCGUAGGAAAUUCGAAGUGCAGCGCGUACCUCGCAAUAAUUUCUUCUGGAUUAACCAAGAUCAGGCCCGCACCUGUGCCUGACAUGUUGGAGGAACCGUCCAUGUAGAGAGCCCAAAAACCAUCAGGG
rnacentral:lncRNA from 1 species